rnacentral:rRNA from 1 species
GACGAAGGAUGCAAGCGUUAUCCGGAUUCAUUGGGUUUAAAGGGAGCGUAGGUGGCCUUAUAAGUCAGUGGUGAAAUCUCUGGGCUUAACCCAGAAAUUGCCAUUGAUACUGUAGGGCUUGAGUACAGUUGCUGUGGGCGGAAUAUGACAUGUAGUGGUGAAAUACAUAGAGAUGUCAUAGAACACCGAUUGCGAAGGCAGCUCACAAAAACUGUAACCGACAC